ACACGACUACAUUAGAUACCCCUGUAGUCCCAGCCCUAAACGAUGCGCGUUAGGUGUAUCGGUGACCACGAGUCACCGAGGUGCCGAAGGGAAACCGUGAAACGUGCCGCCUGGGAAGUACGGUCGCAAGGCUGAUACUUAAAGGAAUUGGCGGGGGAGCACCACAACGGGUGGAGCCUGCGGUUUAAGUGGACUCAACGCCGGGAAGCUCACCGGAUAAGACAGCGGAAUGAUUGCCGGGCUGAAGACCCUGCAUGACCAGCUG
rnacentral:rRNA from 1 species